CAGAAAAUAUAGUAAAAUACACAAAAAUACGAAUUGAUUCAAUACUGAAUUUUAAGAAAUACCAAAUUUUUCGUUGACGAAUGAGAACUGAUCAUAACAUCUUGUAUUACUGCUUUCAUUUGGCCAAGGUAAUUGUGGAUUUUGUCCUAAGGAAGGAAAGGGCACCAUGAUUUGAAACGGGAUUCAUGGUGGAUCCGUCAUUUACCACAUCUUGUUGAACAGUCAGGUGCGUACAGUGUAAACUAGAGCCAACAAGUUGUGCUCUAACUGAUCAUAGUGUGAUGUCGGAAUGGAAGCUACCUGAAAUCCCCCAAGACAGUUAAAGCACACAUCAUUUAUAUAAAGCAUGAAAUUGCUUGACUAAGUUGACCCUCCCGUGCAGCAGUGUUGAUGGUCUACAAUUACACUUCCAAUUGUUGAUGUUUGUCUUCAACAUCAACUUCUGCUAUACCUAUAUGAAUCAUUUUUGUACUUUCAUAUUUGGUGGUUCAUCUUUUGCCAAGUUAUAGUCAAAGGUGUCCUGCACUUAUAUUUGCCUCACUCAAAAAUAGGAAACGGAAAGAGAUACUGCUUUCUCGGAAAAAGCUAUUCGCACUUCACCAUCUUGUAAUCGACUUUUGCCAACUAACCACGAAAGAUGUCAUGCAACUGUAUUAGCCCAUGGCCAAAUAUUGAAUACGGAAAGGGAUAUUCGAAGGAAAAGAAAGCGGUAUUAGUGGAAUUUCAAAAAACCCUCUCAGAUUCCUUGUAGUUCUUUGCUUGUGGCACUUGGAUACCUCUCUUCUUGUACCCUGUAUCAACUGUCAACUGAGUGCAUUUUGAUACAAAAGUAGGGUUACAAGUUUUUGCUGGAUGACGAACACGUCCAUUGUCUUACCUACUUAACCUUUCCGACGCAAAAGAUGUAUAUUUUCAACACGCCUUCUCAUAACCAAUCGUGACGAAAAAUCUGAACUCUUCAAAUCAGGAGACAUUAGAAAUAUGUGUAACAUACGAAUACAAUAAACGGACGUUGCAAGUUGAA